rnacentral:siRNA from 1 species
UUUGCUGCUUCAAGUAUACACAG